rnacentral:rRNA from 1 species
UACGAAGGGGGCUAGCGUUGUUCGGAAUUACUGGGCGUAAAGCGCGCGCAGGCGGUCUUCCAAGUCAGUGGUGAAAGCCCGGAGCUCAACUCCGGAACUGCCAUUGAAACUGUGAGACUUGAGGAUGAGAGAGGUGAGUGGAAUUCCCAGUGUAGAGGUGAAAUUCGUAGAUAUUGGGAAGAACACCGGUGGCGAAGGCGGCUCACUGGGCUCAUUUCUGACGCUCAGGCGCGACAGCGUGGGGAUCAAACAGG